rnacentral:rRNA from 1 species
AUUGAACGCUGGCGGCAGGCCUAACACAUGCAAGUCGAACGAGUGGCGGACGGGUGCGUACUGUCUGGGAAACUGCCUGAUGGAGGGGGAUAACUACUGGAAACGGUAGCUAAUACCGCAUACCAUCAGAUGUUCUCAGAUGGGAUUAGCUUGUUGGUGGGGUAACGGCUCACCAAGGCGACGACCCCUAGCUGGUCUGAGAGGAUGACCAGCCACACGGGAACUGAGACACGGUCCAGACUCGUACGGUAGGCAGCAGUGGGGAAUAUUGCACAAUGGGGGCAAGCCUGAUGCAGCCAUGACGCGUGUAUGAAGAAGGACUUCGGGUUGUAAAGUACUUUCAGCGGGGAGGCGUUACCCGCAGAAGAAGCACCGGCUAACUCCGUGCUAGCAGCCGCGGUAAUAC